UUUGAGAGAUUGAAGCUGCCAGCAUGAUCUGGUAAUCAACCUUUUUGUAUAUAUAUAUAUAUAUUAAUUCCUUAUAGUUUUUAGAUUUAAUUUCUUUUAAUUAGAUCCAUGGUUUCAAUUCUAUUGAAUAAAUGGUGGGGUUUUAUAUUUUCGUGCAAUUAUUAAGAGGAUAGAUGGAAUAGCGCCUUUAAAUCCAAUCACUUUUUUAGUUUUAUUUUGAUCUUUUUUGCCCCCUAAAAUUAAGGGUAAAGGUUAAUAUGUGAGAGAGUUUUAGGGUGUGAUUUAUUAGCUUCGUAGAUGAAUGGUUCCAUCAGGUCAUCUUGCAGCUUCAAUUACUCAUU
rnacentral:pre_miRNA from 1 species